GAUGAACGCUGGCGGCGUGCCUAAUACAUGCAAGUCGAGCGAACGGACGAGAAGCUUGCUUCUCUGAUGUUAGCGGCGGACGGGUGAGUAACACGUGGAUAACCUACCUAUAAGACUGGGAUAACUUCGGGAAACCGUAGCUAAUACCGGAUAAUAUUUUGAACCGCAUGGUUCAAUAGUGAAAGACGGUCUUGCUGUCACUUAUAGAUGGAUCCGCGCUGCAUUAGCCAGUUGGUAAGGUAACGGCUUACCAAGGCAACGAUGCAUAGCCGACCUGAGAGGGUGAUCGGCCACACUGGAACUGAGACACGGUCCAGACUCCUACGGGAGGCAGCAGUAGGGAAUCUUCCGCAAUGGGCGAAAGCCUGACGGAGCAACGCCGCGUGAGUGAUGAAGGUCUUCGGAUCGUAAAACUCUGUUAUUAGGGAAGAACAUAUGUGUAAGUAACUGUGCACGUCUUGACGGUACCUAAUCAGAAAGCCACGGCUAACUACGUG
rnacentral:rRNA from 1 species